GACGUAGGGCGCGAGCGUUGUCCGGAUUUAUUGGGCGUAAAGAGCUCGUAGGCGGCUCAGAAAGUCGGGUGUGAAACCUCCAGGCUCAACCUGGAGACGCCACCUGAUACUGCUGUGGCUAGAGUCCGGUAGGGGAACACGGAAUACCCGGUGUAGCGGUGAAAUGCGCAGAUAUCAGGAGGAACACCGGUGGCGAAGGCGGCUUGCUGGGCCAGUUCUGACGCUGAGGAGCGAAAGCGUGGGGAGCGAACAGG
rnacentral:rRNA from 1 species